AUUGAACGCUGGCGGAAUGCUUUACACAUGCAAGUCGAGCGGCAGCGCGGGGCAACCUGGCGGCGAGCGGCGAACGGGUGAGUAAUGCAUCGGAACGUACCCCGUCGUGGGGGAUAACUACCCGAAAGGGUAGCUAAUACCGCAUACGACCUGAGGGUGAAAGCGGGGGACCGAAAGGCCUCGCGCGAUGGGAGCGGCCGAUGCCGGAUUAGCUAGUUGGUAGGGUAAAGGCCUACCAAGGCGACGAUCCGUAGCUGGUCUGAGAGGACGACCAGCCACACUGGAACUGAGACACGGUCCAGACUCCUACGGGAGGCAGCAGUGGGGAAUUUUGGACAAUGGGCGAAAGCCUGAUCCAGCCAUUCCGCGUGAGUGAAGAAGGCCUC
rnacentral:rRNA from 1 species